CAGCAGCCACGGGAAUACGUAGGGUGCAAGCGUUAAUCGGAAUUACUGGGCGUAAAGCGUGCGUAGGCGGUUUGUUAAGUCUGUUGUGAAAUCCCCGGGCUCAACCUGGGAAUGGCAAUGGAUACUGGCAAGCUAGAGUGUGUCAGAGGAUGGUGGAAUUCCCGGUGUAGCGGUGAAAUGCGUAGAGAUCGGGAGGAACAUCAGUGGCGAAGGCGGCCAUCUGGGACAACACUGACGCUGAGGCACGAAAGCGUGGGGAGCAAACAGGAUUAGAUACCCCAGUAGUCCCUGUCUCUUAUAC
rnacentral:rRNA from 1 species